AAAAAUCAUUCUCUUCAGAUUUCACCUCCGAGUUCUCCUUCUCGGAUUCCUCCUCUUCAGCUCUUCAGCGGGGUCCUGAAAUGGUUUUCCCCAAACUGGGAUGAGACUACGUCUCAGCGAGUUCUACCCCACUAAGCCCGAUUAGUAAACUACUAUACUAAAGGCUGCCUAAACACGCACAGGGCAGAGGACUUACCUUGGCCUCAGAUCCCACCUGCAAGUCAGUACAAUUCAUAAUAGGCACCCAAGCAAUCAUAUGACCGAUCGAAGCAUCGAUCAAAUCGACCUAGUCGAUUACAUGCCAAACAAAUCAAUCCCCACUGUGGGAUAUUUAAAAACUAGGCCACGUGUAUUCUCCAGGAUGACCUUCCAAGUCUCCGAGUCACGUGCCUUGAACCUUGGGCCCACGUGCAUUCUCUCAGGCGACCUUUUCGCCAAAGUGAUGCAUCAAGUCACCGAGACCACGUGCCCUUUUAGAUGCCCGGGCCCACGUGCAUUCUCUUAGGUGCAUCUCACCAAAGCGAUGCAUCAAUUCGCCGAGACCACGUGCCCUUUUAGAUGCCAUUCCGGAAUGCUGGACCCACGUGCAUUCUCUAAGGUACUCGCUUACCAAAGUGACGCAUCAGAUCACCGAGCCACGUGUCCUUUUAGAUGCCAAAUCCUGUCACCGAGCCACGUGCAUUCUCCAGGACGACAUACCGAGUCUCCGAGCCACGUGCAUUCUCUCAGGCGACCUUUUCGCCAAGGUGACAUAUUCAACCACUGAACUCACGUGCAUUCUCCAGGUGACAUUCCAAUUCACCGGGCACACGUGUCCUCUUUCAAGUGGUCACCAAAUCUACUUUCAACACCGAUAACCAAUGCCCAACGAUUUCUCAAUCAAAUAAUUAAAUCAACUCCACAAAGCAUUAUAAAUACUGAAUAACAUACUUGGCCAUUUACCAAUCAACAAUUCAAUCGCAAUCAAUUCCAAUCAAUUUAGGGUAAAUCCCUAAAAUAUCACAAUUUAUUCAAUUCCAUACAACGUAGAGCUCAAAUAAAUAAACGAAUUGCGCCACGACGAUCAGCACGAGAUUUCGGUCGUCAGCCAUCAAAAUCUUAAUUUCCGAAAAAUAAAUAAAUAAUUAUUAAUUUCGAAAAUUAAUUAAUUACUAUUAAAAAUUCAAUUUAGCUCAAAAUAAAGCCUGAUUAAAUAAACAGACUUCACCACAGUCAUCAGCAUAAUAUUCCGGUUCCGAACCAUCUCCCUUGAAUUUUCAGAAAAUAAAUAAUUAUUUAAUUUAAUUUCGAAAAUUAAUAUUUAAAUACUAAAAAUAUCCACUUAGGCCCGAAAAGCCUAAUUGGAGCCCACUAAGGGUCGGGAAAAUUCCCGAAGCACUUCCAAUAAUUAGUAGACCACGUCUACUUGCUAAUUACACAAUCAAUUUAUCUAAAUCACAUCACAAUUGACUAAUAAUUGCUAAUUUAUUCUAAUCUAACAACCUAAACAUAAUUAAUUAAAUCUAAACCAGCUUAAAACAUAAUUAGCCACUAAUCCUGGAUUAGUGAGAUUACUCACCAAAUCGCACGCAAAUCGGAUCAAUCCGACGGCGGCGACGCGAGGAACGAUUGUUCCCAAAGCACGGCUCGGGUUCGGGGCCGGGAAACGGUCCAAAAGCGGGCCCGAAGGUGCUGAAACCCACUUCGUGGGUCUUGC
rnacentral:lncRNA from 1 species